ACAAUGUACCGUAAAUCUAUACAAAUGCUCUUCGACUGCUUGUCGAAGUCCUUUUUGCCCCAGCCGGUAGGUCUCUAGAUGUUACAGAGAAUCCCGAACAACCCAAACUGUUAAUCUUCAAUACCGCUUUGUACUUACGAUCUUGUAUCCACUGACUGUCUUGUUAGAUUAACCCAAUAAAUUUCAUUCACUCCGCAUACUCAAUCCUAUAGACACCCUUUUAAUCCUUCAAUCAUAGACGUAACUUGAUUUCAUAAAACAGUCAAGAGUAUUCAAACCCACUUCAUUAAAAAUCCCGAUUCACCAUUACAAUACUGACUUCAACAGCGAUUGCCUCAGUCUUCUCAAAACUCUCCGAAGAAAAAAAAUCCAAAUUCUAUGUCUUUCCUUCCCCGACCCGAAGCAUGAAGCUCCUCUCUCUAAUCCCCUUGAUUUUCAAAAACCUCUAAUGAAAACCGAACUUGUAACCUUGCAAAAGCUUGAAAACUAGCUCCCCCCGAUUCCCCAGAAAAAAAAAACCCCCCCUCUUCAAAACUAUAUCCUCCCUAACCAUAUCCUCUGAAUUUCUUCAAUCUUCCGUCUUAGAUCCGGAAUUGGCUCCCACCGUCAAGCUUGGAUCCAAAAUUGGCUCUCGAUGUCAGAGCUUUCUCCUUCGUUUUUAUCUUUAAAAAAUCCAUUUACCGAAAACAACGUUCCCUGAAAUGGCAUAGAGAACAGGACAGCCCGAAACAGAAUCAAAACCCCGUAAUCGGGACCACAUUGAGUCACUCGACCAAUUCAGGUCUCAUAUUGGAUAAGAGUCCAGUAGUAACCUGGAUGUUCCCGUAAUUGGGUCAAAUUGGUCCUCGCGUCGGAUUGGCUAAGAUCCGUAGUAAGUCCUGGAUUUCCCGUAAUUGAGUUGACUGACCAAUUCAGGUCUCAUAUCGGAUAAGAGGACCCGGAUUGGAUUCUCGAAAUUGGAUCCAAUUGGCUCUUCGAACCCGUCGUGUGAAUUGGUCCUUCUCUUCUUGCUAACUCCCGUUAUUGGAAUCGAAUGGAGCAUUUCAGUAUGCCCUGGCUGACUAUAAUGGAGUGACUGAACCUAACCACUCGGUAUUUGUACUGGAGUUGGUCGAUGCUCCCAAUAUUCGAGGUAACUGAAUAUUAAUAAAAUUCCCCUUUCUUUUUAUUUUCACUGUAUAUUCAUGUUACAACACGACAUCUAUCCCCUCUGAACCUGUGCAUCCUCCGGUAUGCACCAAUUUAUCCAAUUACUGUUUGAUUCAGAAUAUAUCUAUUACGUCUUUUUCCAGUUCGUCUUUGUCACUUUCAUUAUCCAAAUCACUUUCAUCUUCUUGCUGCGGAAUCUCUAUACCUUCAUUAAGGUCUUCCAUAUUCAUCUCUGCGUGUCUUCGUUUAAAUAUUUUUACUCGCUUCCCUGCAAUUGGUAUUUUCAAUUUUGUACCAUCUAACUCCCGUAAUGAGUAAGUCGCAUUACCAUGAACAGCUUUUACCACAUAUGGUCCAAACCAACGUUUUGAAAAUUUCCGCAAAGUACUAUGUUGAUUAUCCAGACUAUUAUGAUAAACAAGUACCCAGUCACCUUCCUCGAUUGCUUUUGGUCUCAAUCGAUGUUGCUUAUCGAAUCGCGCCUUGUUUUUUAACCUUGCUCUUUUUAACCUUCCCAAUGCUAUCUGGACAUCUUCUGUUCUUUGCUCCAUUUGUCAAAUCCUAAUAGCCAGAAGUUCUUCUCUUGUUAAUCCAUCUUCCCAUGGUAGCAUACUCCAAGUAAGUACCUUUUCUUCAAUCGGCAUAAUUAGUUUUUGACCUGUCAUAAGUUCUACUGGCAUAUAUCCUGUCACCGAACUAUGUGUUGUUCGAUCAGUUCAUAAUGCAAAUGACAAUAGCCAUGGCCACUCUUUAACUUUUCCAUUACAAGCUUUAACCAAUGCUUUCACAAUCGGCGGGUGACCACGUUCACUUUUUACAUUCCCUUCCGGAUUAUAAGCAAUAGUCAGUGAUAGUUUAACUCCACAUCUUUCAAAGAACUUACGAGCUUCUUGUGCAUUUAAUUCUCCACGAUCUGCAGUGAUUUUUCCUACGCACCCGUAACAACAAAUGACAUCUUCAAGCAAAAACCUACAAAUCCCCUCUGUAGAUUUUGUCCUCAAUGCUCUUCCUUCUACUUGAUUUGAUAAAUCUUCACGAGCUAAAACCAAAUAUCUCAUCUGCCAUAAGCCAACCGGCAUAAUAACCAAAUCAACAAUCCAUUUAAAAUGAAUAGCCAGAGGAUACGUAGGAUGAAGACCAUCUCGAUGUCGGAUAUUAGAAUAUGAUUGACAGAUUUCACAUGACUCUACAAAUGAGAGCACAUCUUGAUACAUAUUUUUCCACCAAUAUCGUUCCUUGAGUUUAGCAAAAGUAGCCCAGAUUCCUCUAUGCCCUGUCCAUAAACUAUCAUGAAACUCCUUUAAAAAUUUUAGUUUUUCUUCCCUUUUGCCUAUCACUCAUUGUGGCAUCUCAAUUCCUUUCUUCGGUCUCUUCCAUAAGAACCCAUCUCGAAGUAAAAAUCCAUAUGUUUUUUUUCUUAUUUGUUUGAAUUUUUCUGUAGACUAACUCCCCUGCUUAGUCAAGGUAUUCAAAUAAUGACCAAUAUCCAAUAAUUCUCCUUCAUAAGAUUCUUCAAGAAAUAGCUUGUCUUCUCUGUUGAGAUUCGAUAUUGAAUAGAAUUUCAAUCCGACAUCAUCAAUGUCUUCAACCAUAUCGUCCUCCCUCUCGUAUCUUACUUGAGAUAGCAUAUCUGCUACUAAAUUGUCUUUCCCAGUAACAUGCUUAAAUUCUGGAUUUAGUGACUUAAUAUAAGCAAUCCAUCUCAACAUUGUAAUAUUUGGCGUUGAACAGUUAGUAAUCAUUCCAAGCAAUGGUAAGCAUUCUCUUUCAAUUACUACUAUUGCUCCAAUCAAAUAGUUCUUUUCAGCUUUCAUAGUCGAAACAACUCUCCAAAGUUCUCUUUUGACUUGCGAAUAUGCACGCUCACGAAUACUUAAAACUUUAGCCCCAAAUCGAACUGCAAAUCUACUCCCAUAUGAAUCAUCUUGAUCCACAGCCCAUCCAACGGCAAUUGGACUAGCGUCUACAGUAAGAAUCACUGGUCUAUUGCACUUAUAAUCAACCUUCCUCAAUAUUGGAGGUGACAUCAAUAAUUUCUUCAAUCUUUGCAUUGCCUGAAUAUGCCUUUCUUCCCAUUUAAAUCGGUAACCCUUGCGUAACAGUUCAUAUAAUGGAUCUGCUAUGUGAGCAAAAUGAGGGAUCCAGAUUCGAUAAAAUACACAUGCACCCAAAAACCUGCGAACCUCUGUUAAAGAAUCACAAUCCUCUUUCAUCCUUUCAAUUGCAUCAACUUUAGUCGGAUCUGGUUUUCUUCCGUAAGAUCCGCAUAAAUGUCCAACAAUUACAACCUCUCGCACUCCAAAUACGGACUUCAUACCUGAUAAUGUAAGAUGAACUUCUCCAAGCCGAGUUAAAAUCUUUUCACAAUCUUGUAUAUGAUCAACAACAUAUCUGCGACACCCCCUCGUAUCUAAAGUUUCAUCCUUGUCUCCUUCUCUGCACCCUUUUAUAGGAACAUCAUUCAGAAAAGGCAUAGUCUUUUCCGAAAUAAAAUCUCUCAAUACCUUAUUCAUCCCAUUUAUCAUAUGCGCAACUGAGUUGGUCGCGCCUUGAGGAAGAGUGCACAUUCUAACCAAUCCAAGUGGUGUCCUCAUCGUUGUCAUAUCUCUACUUCCUUCGGCAAGUUGAAAUUGAUCAUAACCUGAAUACAAGUCACCCAUUGAAUAGAUCGCCCUUCCAGCAAACGCCUCAGCAAAUUCAUCCACAAUAGGUCCAAUUCUUGCAUUCCUGACAGUUACUGCAUUCACCGGUUGCAUAUCUUGAAUAAACCGUAGUGACCCAUUCUUCUUAGGUACCGUAAACCAUCGACUAGAAUACGGUGCAAAUGAAGGUUCUAAUAUUUUCAUCUUUAUCUUUUCUUUUAAUAGUUCCACUAAUUUAGGUAAAUAUGCCCUCGGUACUAGAAUCGGUCUUAGAUUCCAAGGUACAUGCGGUACAGUGAAGAUAACCAUAGGUGUUAUAAUAUUUGGAUCCAGACACCCAAUUUCAUGAGAUUCGAAGGCAAACGAUAUACCUUGUUUAGUCAACAUCUUUUUGAAGCAAGUAAUUUCCUCCGGUAAUAAAGAACCAUCAGAACCAAUCUUCAAUUCUUCGAAAGUCUCUUCAGUAAACUGAUGUCCAAUACUCAUUGGAUCUCUUAAACUUGCUUCUUUUGAUGCUUCUCCCAUUUGUUCUUUAGAAUCCUCUGGUAAUGGUCUGGCAAUAGGUUUUAUCUUCUUAUCUUCCGUUUUAUAUCUCGUCUCUACUGUGACUUCUGGUGCUUGAAAAGAUUCAAGCAUGGUAUAAACCUCUCUCGAAUGAAUCUCAACAAUCUUAUCAUUAUCCCCUAACCCAAUAGAUGUAAUCAAUUCCAAUGAAUCUUCCAGUCCAUUUUCUUCAUAAACACCCAAAAUCCUCUCAUCAUCUUAUAAUGUACCUAUCUUGCGUAAUUGUCCUUCAAUAUUAUAUAAUCUUUUUCUUUCUUUUCUUUUAAAAUCAUCAACUUUCUUAUACAUAAUAUUUCCAUUCUCUAAUAUACCAAUAAAACUCGCAUCAAAGGCACCUUCAUCUCGCAAGAGUACCUCCUCUUUUGUACCUCCAUAAUCUCGCUUUACAGUGGUACCUCCCCAAAAUCCUUAAAUCCUUCAACAAUCUUUGGCAAUGGUUUCUCCCUCAACCUAUCUCGAUUUCGUUCAUGGUUAGGAGGUACUGUUAGAAAUUGUACAGCUUUCCUCGCAUCUUCGCUUCGUACCCUUGCAUAAGCAGAACCAUCGUCAAGUACUUUUGUUUCCAUCCGUAUUGCCGUGAUAUAAGGUUGUCCUAAAAUCAACGGAUAAGACGUUGUAUCUUGAACGAAGAAAUGUUGCUCCGUCGCAACAUCCUCAAUCCAAAUUUUGACAUUUGGACAAGCUCCAUAUAAUUCACCUCGUGUGUUAUGAGCUGCUCGUAUUGCCCAUCCAUGUUCCAUAUCAAUUGGCCAUUUUUGUUUCUUAUAAAGAUCUUUAGACAUGAGAUUUAUUUCAGAACCAUGGUCGACCAAAACAACUAUUGGUUCAUCUAUAUCUCCUACCUUCACCAAUACCUCAGUAGUUGCCUUUGCCCAAUGCUUUCGAGUAUAAUGGCUCAAAGUUUCCAUUUCCUUGUCACUAGAAUCUUUGAAACGUUCUCGCUGAUUAUACCCAUUCUUUUCAUUUGUUGGUUGCUUGUAACCAAUAUCAACCUCUUCUUCAUCUCUACAUAUUCUUGCAUCAAUAGCAUGACUCAUUCCAGUUUUGCCCAUUAAUUGCCUCUUUUGCUUAAUGCUGUCAAUGAUAACAUCAUGAAACUCCUUCUUUGCAAUUCCCCAGACUUCUUUCAAUGUGAAUUCCACCUUAGCAUUUAAUAUACGUUUUUCCAACACCCCUUUCAAAUUUGUUGCCACUUCAAUGUCAAAAAGUAGCUUAUAGGCAAUUGAUUUGCCUUUAUCUUUUGUCUCCGUUGUUUUUUCUCCCAAUGAUGCUGAGGUAUCUUUUACAAGCAAUUCUUGUGAAGCUGCCUCCCGAGCCUUGUCUCCUUGAGUUUGCCUCUUAAAAGAAUUUCCUUCUCUAGUAUCAUCAAAAUUUCCUCGUCUCUUUUCUUCCAUCAAAGCUUCAUGUUGGCUCUUAGCAAUAUAUGCAUGAACUGAAAGAGAUUCAACAGGAUCCUCCCAACUUGUUCUACCUCGUAUUGUAGCUGCAGUUCUCAAUAACGCUUCUCGAGGUAAUUUCCCUUCUUGCAUUGUAGAAACGGCAGAAGUCCAAAACUCACUAGUUUUCGUACUUCCACCAAUUUCAUCAUCUACUCUAGCACCAUAACUUGCACUUUCUCGUGCUACUAUUUCAUGCUCUUUUAAGUAAUCUUGAACUAAUGCUCUCAUUCCUUCCUUACCAAAAUUGGUUUGAAGAAGAUCCUCUCUAUUUUUCAAUGCUAUCUUCCCAUCUUUCUAGCAAAUAAUUCUUUGCCGUAUAAUAUUAUUAAAUUCAUUGCAAUCUUUUCUAGUGUGUGAAGCAUCAUCACACCAAAUGCAUCUUUGUACAUAUCCUUGUUUUGAAACAUUCUUCGAAUUAUUUAUAGAAGUAUUCUCUUCAAAUUUUGCCAAUUUGAUUUGAAGAUCUCGCAUUCCUGGUAUAAUUUCUUCCAUACCCAUAUCUGCUUUCUUUGACAAGGAUGUCGAAGGUUGAACUGUAGGCAUUGUCGGUGGUGUUGUACGUACUGGAGCUUUGGGUGCUUGUACUGUUUUCGGAAUAUUGCUCCUAUCCUUCCUCCUUUCUUUUUUUGUAAGCAACCCCACCGCAUCUUCAACGUUCUUCCACUUCGUUGUCAAUCCUUCAUCUUCUUCUUUGUCUUCAAGAAGGGGUUCUAAUUUCUCUUGCAAUUCUCCAUCAGCAGCUUGAAGAAAUAGAUCAACUUUGUUCAGCUCCAAUGUCAAUUUUUCUACCUUCGAUAAUUGAGAGUACUGCCUCUCAAAUUACCUUAGUAGCUCUGUUGCUUGCAAAUUCUUAUUGGGCCGUUCAAUCCAUCCCAGAAACAGCUUCUUAGUAACGCGAUCAGCAUCUUCCAAGAAAUAUUCGUCUUUCAAUGCAUGUGAAAAAUCCUCCCAUGAAUUCCCACAACGAUCCGUAAUCGAUGUAAUGUGGUCCCUUAUCUCCGGUAUCGUGGCAAGUCCAAAUAGUGCAACCAUUUUCUUCUCAGAAAUCCGAUUUAAUUCCAUUUCACGAACAUAACAUCUUAAAUACCUUGAAAUAUUCCUUCCAUCAAAUUGAUCAAUUUUAUUGACCACUGCUUGCAAUGCUUUGGUUACCAAAGCUUCCUUUCGAUCAUUGCUUUGCUGUUGCUGUAUUGACAUGAGAAGGCUUGAAACAAACUAGCAAUAGACGGAUCUAUGUGCAUACCUUGUCCUUUAGAGGACUCCCCACUAGAAACUCCUCUCAAAAAUCCUUCCAAAUUUUUAUUUUCGUUUUCCAUAAAAAUAAAGAUAAAAUCAACCGAAAUCCAAUACCUUCCACCUCAAGCUUUCAUGUCGGGUUCACCACUUUUGUCGUAUUACGUGCUUUCCUGCUCGAGAAUGCGCCGGGCGUAUGGCUGUAGAAGGUAGUAUGGAGAUUCGUCGAUAGUCAAGCAGUCUAUCAGUUUUGACUGCUGGAAUAUAAACGACUGCAAUAAUGUACCGUAAAUCUAUACGAAUGCUCUUCGACUGCUUGUCAAAGUCCUUUUUACCCCAGCCGGUAGGUCUCUAGACGUUACAGAGAAUCCCGAAGAAUCCAAACUGUUAAUCUUCAAUACCGCUUUGUACUUACGAUCUUGUAUCCACUGACUGUCUUGUUAGAUUAACCCAAUAAAUUUCAUUCACUCCGCAUACUCAAUCCUAUAGACACCCUUUUAAUCCUUCAAUCACAGACGUAACUUGAUUUCACAAAACAGUCAAGAGUAUUCAAACCCACUUCAUUAAAAAUCCCGAUUCACCAUUAUAAUACUGACUUCAGCAGCGAUUGCCUCA
rnacentral:lncRNA from 1 species